CGGUUAAAAAGCUCGUAGUUGGAUCUCGGCGGGCAGGGGGUGGUUCGCUCUUCAGCGCUACUGCCCCGCUUUGCCCGUGUGAUUGGCGGAGGUUUCGGGGUGCUCUUCGUUGAGUGACUCGGAGCGCCGUCAGGUUUACUUUGAAAAAAUUAGAGUGCUCAAAGCAGGCUUUUCACGCUUGAAUAUUCGUGCAUGGAAUAAUGGAAUAGGAACUCGUUUCUAUUUUGUUGGUUUUCGGAAAUCGAGUUAAUGAUUAACAGGGACAAUUGGGGGCAUUAGUAUUCAGACGACAGAGGUGAAAUUCUUGGACCGUCUGAAGACUGACUACUGCGAAAGCAUUUUGCCAAGAGUGUUUUCAUUAAUCAAGAACGAAAGUUAGAGGUUCGAAGGCGAUCAGAUACCGCCCUAGUUUCUAACCAUAAACGAUGCCAGCUAGCGAU
rnacentral:rRNA from 1 species